rnacentral:rRNA from 1 species
GACGUAGGGGGCGAGCGUUGUCCGGAUUUAUUGGGCGUAAAGCGCGCGUAGGCGGCUCGGAAAGUCGAAUGUGAAAACCUGGGGCUCAACUCCAGGCCUGCAAUCGAUACGGGCAGACUAGAGUUCGGUAGGGGAGACUGGAAUUCCUGGUGUAGCGGUGAAAUGCGCAGAUAUCAGGAGGAACACCGGUGGCGAAGGCGGGUCUCUGGGCCGAAACUGACGCUGAGGAGCGAAAGCGUGGGGAGCGAACAGG